ACUGGCAUGAAUAAAAUAGGCCAGGAAGGUCUGCGUGCCUUCCAACCUUAAUGCAGCUCUGUGCUGCACGACUUAAAGGCAGAGCACCUGCCGUCACAGUCCUUAGUGGACUGGCCUUUAUCUCAGGUGAGUGGGGCCUUUCUGGUUGGGUGUCUUGCUGACAGGUGUGCAGGGAGAGAUGAGAGCCUGGCCCAUGGGUGAAUGAUUGCUGUUCAUCCAUGGAAUUCAUUUUCCUAUUUGAAAUGCCGCAUAAUCGGGUGGCGGAUAGAGUGCUGAAUUGGAAAUCCAGGGUAGGCAGACUUUGUGAGGACCCUGCUGCUGAUACUUAGAGUGGUCCAGCAGUGGUGGCUUCCUGUGCCCGGGAACUCAUGUGGAAAGAACUAGCAAGGACACUGAGAAGCUCCAUCUCAUUCUGCAGUCCUAGAAAGGAAACAACCCAUAGACGUCACCAAACACCAAUAUAAUCCCUUCUUUCAAAACGAAAAGAUAACAUUUGAUUCCCACGACGGAGGAAGGCAGUGCCCAAGUCCGGAAUCCAUCAAAUCAGGAUAAUUUCACGGAGCCUCCACACUUCAAGACUUCAGUUCUUAACGGCUUUUAUGGUUCUGGGUAAUUUCACUGUUGUUAUUGUUUUAAAGAUAAAUAAAAUCGGUGCUCUCUGCA